rnacentral:rRNA from 1 species
CCCUUAGAUGUUCUGGGCCGCACGCGCGCUACACUGACGAUGGCAACGAGUUUUUCCUUCGCCGAAAGGUGUGGGUAAUCUUUUGAAACAUCGUCGUGCUGGGGAUAGAUCAUUGCAAUUUUUGAUCUUGAACGAGGAAUUCCUAGUAAGCGCGAGUCAUCAGCUCGCGUUGAUUACGUCCCUGCCCUUUGUACACACCGCCCGUCGCUCCUACCGAUUGGGUGUGCUGGUGAAAUGUUCGGAUCGGCCGUUUGUCGCGGUUUCCGCGGCUCGUGGCUGAGAAGUUCAUUAAACCCUCCCACCUAGAGGAAGGAGAAGUCGUAACA